UGAGAAGGAGGGAGCGAGCGGUGUAAAUGGUGGGCGAGGGAGAGAGUGGGAGAUGAUUCACGCUGUUUCUGAGCCCCCUUCCGCCCCUGCCCGCCCUACUGCCGCGCCUGACGCUGCGGCUCAGCUGCCCGCCGCUCCCGCUCCCUCUCUGUCGGGCUCCUGUGCACGGGGGUGGAGAGGGGGAUCGCUGCCGCUGUGGUGCGGCGCUGCUCCGCUCUCACCCCAACACCGCGGGCGGCUGGUUGGCCGGGGGUUGGGGUCACCGGCCUCGGCUGCACCGCAGAAACCCGCAAGGCAGGAGAGGCUGCGCCUCGCAGGCCCGCAGCUGCGUGGGAGGACGGCUGAGAUUGCUCGAGGAGGCGGUGGGAUAGCGGGGACACGUCCUCGCUGGGGCUGGCUGCACCACUCGCGCGGAGCGACACGACACGGCCGGUGUGGCCGCGGCCCUCUGUCCGUCCGUCCUUCCGUCCGUCCGUCCGUCCUUCCAUCCCCACCGGCCGCCGCGGGGGACGGGCGGAGGACAGCGCUGCCGCUCCGCAUCGGGAGCCUCGGACGCGCCGGGCUGCAUCGCGCAGGCUUGUAAAGGAAAUAAUAAAGAUAUUAUUGUUAUGCUGUGACAGCCGGUCUAGCUGGAGCUGUGCGACACAGCCGCGUUGCUUACCUAAGUAUUUCGUAGAGAUUUCAAAGAUGUUUCGCUGCGGUGAAGCCAGCGUUGGACUGGCAUACCUGACCAGAGGUUUUUCAAGCAGCUGUGGGAUCUUGAUUCCUUCAGUCAUGUCCUACCAGAUGAGGGUGUUAUGGCAAUAUCAUGGAACAUGUUCAUGGAUGAUGAGAAGAAUAGAAUAACAACAACUAUUACUCUAAAAAUGACAUUUUAAUAAUGAAUGCGACUGAAAAUUAAAGGAAAAAAUCACAGGGUACUACAUGGGUUCCAGAGGCAACUGCCAAGUAGUGUGACUACAGUGAUGAAAGCACUGUGAACACAACCAGUACAUUCUUCAUGGAACGACCACAGUUUUUUCCUGAAGGUGAUCCAAAAGAACAAUAUGAAGCCUACCUUCUUUCCCAGCACUGACUUUACAUGGAUUUCAAAAUCAAAGAUCAAUAUAGUAACAAAAGUACUCGGAGUUUCCAACAGCUGUGACAUACAAGCUUAUCUCUAGCAAGGAUAAAGCGUAUCUUUGUAGGACAGAUCCUAAUUAAGGUAUUAUUUUCUCAUAGAACAAAGGACUAUCAAUACAGUCAAGCUUAACUGCAAGUUGCACUGCUGUCAGUAUUUUCCAAGUAAGUUAAAUGACUGAUGUAAAGAAAAUUAAGAAAAACCCCACAACAAAAUAUACCACAACAAAAACCCCAACAACAAAAAAACCUAGUGAAAAUAAACAAACACACAAACAAAAACACACUACCAAAAUCAAACAGAAACACUCUUGUCUCCUUCCACAAACAAGAGAAACAGAAAAAAAAAGUCUCAUUUCUUACUACCCUCCCAGAAGCAAUACACAGGGAAUACUUUGAUAUGCAAACACCUGUGUAAAAUAGAAUAGUCCUACCAUACUGUGCUUUUUGAUAAAUAACAAUCUCAUAGAAAAUCACACAGCUUGAAUAAUACUUUGAAAUUUUUUUUAAACCCAUUGUUUUGCUGUAAGAGACAACAUAUCCAUGGUAAGCAUUCCUAGUCAAUGGGAGAUUUCAAAAGAGACUUCACAUGGCCCAGGAAUCUGAAGUUUGGAUUUGUCCUUAGACAUUGUGGCAGGAUAGACUCACUCUGAUAAGACCUAAAAUCCAAUCGAGCUAUCAUGCAAGCCACUAUGCAAGUUCAACCGCAGAAGCCAAGGUGUUGUCUUGGUGUUAAUUAUGCUGAAACCAUACUGGUUCACCAGACUUCGAAUACACACCUUGCUUUUGCAGUCUGAUUUGACUUUUGAUAAGAUGAUAGCUGGACUAGCAGUCCAGUCCCCCAGCUUCUUCUGACAUAACCCUUGGAGUGUAUGAAUGGAGAUUCCUCCCUUGGCUGGGUAUGCCCUCCAAGGUUACUCCUCAAGGCUGAGAGAAAGAGAUCUCCUCAUGAGCAUUGAUAUGGGUGAGUUACAUCAAAUCUCUACUUAAUAAUUAUUUCUUUUUGCUAGCUUUAAUAUAACUGCUUCAAUAAUUGCUUUGUUACAGUGCACUGUACUACUUUAUGCUAUAUUAUGGUCUAGUAGUAGAUUUUUAGCUUUUAUAUUGUAUAGUAAAUUGUUCUGAUCAAGAUCUUUUAUCUGAUAAUUUGUAAUAACAAAAUGUUCAUUUUAUAUAAGCAUUCUGAUCUUUCCAAUCAUUAAAAUCUGUUGGGCAAAAGUGGUUCAGUCAUUCCUUAAGUUUAAACCACUGACAUAAUCUGAGGCUAAGAUCGGAUACAGUCUCGCCUAGACUCCUCUCUGAGAAAGGGUUAAGAAAACAAGGCAGUCCUUUCUGCACUUGGUUACUCAAGAGCAGAGCUUUUUAGUAGAUUUUGUCUAAACCUUCCUCUCCCACCUACAACAGACAUUACAACUUUCUGCAACUGUAAAAACUGUAAACCUCAGUUUUUCCUCCCAAAUGUUAAAAAAAAAAAAAAGGGAAAAAAAAGGGAGACUGAGAGAGAGCAAGGGUGAGAUUAAGACAGUGUUAGGCAAUUGUAUGACACAUUUUCCUUCAAACUACAUAAAUUACUUGUCAUUUGGCAUACACUUUUUCAAGUGUUAAUUAAAAUAAAUGAGAAACAUUCAAGUUAAAUUUAGCAUAACAAAUUAUAUUAGCCUCAUAAUACGAUAAGAACACAUAUUACUGUUUCCAACACUUUUUCUGGUGGAUUUAUUUUGUUGUAUGAGCAUUAUUCCUGUUCUUCAUUUUAGAAAAGGGACUUAUCUUUGCUAUUUAAAUGUUUUAUGGAUAAAAGAGAAUAUUUAGAUAAACAUGCUAUGCUAUCUCUGUAAUGGUAUUCUGCUGUGCUAUGUUUUGUGAAGUGCAUACAUGUAGGGCACUGUAAGAUUAUAAGUUUGGAGAGGUUUCUCGUACUUGAUCACAAAAUAUGUUUAUAUCUUGUAAUCCUGAAAAAUUGGGAACUGUGUUAAUUGUAUGAAUAAAGGAAGAAAAACAUCCACUGGUUAUUACAGAAGUAAUUUAUCUGGAUUAUAAAUCAGAUUUUUAUUCAUAAAUGUAGGACAAGCUUUUGCAAAAUAAUUAUGAACUAUUCUCAUAGCUGUAGGGUUUUAUUUCUUCCAUUUUUGGUCCCAGUAGAUGAAUAUCAAAAUUUCUUAGUACAUGGAUGAAAAUAAAAUGCAGCUGCUUAUCUCAACAGACAUAGAAUUUAAGGUCACCUCAAUACGGAUUGUUUGUUUGUCAACUCUGGCAUCCCAAAUAAGUAUUUCCUAUUUAUUUUUAAUAAGUGUAUAUUCUUAACUAUAUUAAUAAAGAGGAAAUAUUCCUCCUUUAAGGCAUUUAUUGAAAUUUGCUGUAUAAAAAAUAAAUACACGAGUUUAGGAGGAGAAAGGAAGCAAUAGAAUGAUUAUUUCGACUUAUUUGGAAAAAGUCAAUUGGAUAGAGGGGAAAAGUUGCUGAAAAAUUCGUUAGUGUUCGAAAAAAAAGAGGGAGUACUUGAUAAUGGGUAUGACAGAAAAAUAUCUGUUUUGGAUUUAAAUUUGACUUUUUAGGACAAUGUGAAAUAUAUAUUAUGUAAAACAUACCUAUAAAAAGCAAAUGUAUUGCAUACUAUGUAUUGCAUACUAUAUACUGUACAAGCUGAUUUACAUUUACUAGUUCUAACUUAUGUUUUUGUUUGUUAGAGAAUUAUGUUAAUAACACCAAAAUUGUGAGUUCAAUCCCCAUAUGAACUAUUCAUGUAAGAGCUGGACUCAAUGAUUGUUGUGGAUCCUUUCCAACUCAGAAUAUUCGGUGAAAUUGUGUGAAAUGUUUUAAGAUUUCUAGAUGGUCCACCAGAAGGUGGGUCCUUUCAUGGGCUAGGAUACUAAGUCAGGAUGAUUUUUUAAGGAGGCUUUAAAGAUACCUUUUUUACUUCACUGAUUAUGUAGAAAAUUUAGAUGUUCAGUUCAGAAGAGCUAAUUCAGCAGCCAUCUAAAAUUUAGGUAAACAUUAAAAGCCUGAGUAAGAUAGAAUGACUACUAAUAAGUAAAAGAGGACACUUAGGAGCCCUAUUCUUAAAAAAACUUCAACAAACCCAACAAAAUCAUAAAAUCAUAGAAUCAGCCAGGCUGGAAAGGACCUCUGAGAUCAUCAAGUCCAACCCUGGAUCCACUACCACCAUGGUUACCUAGACUAUGACGCUCAGUGCCACAUCCAGUCUCAUCUUAAAAACCUCCAGGGAUGAAGAAUCCACCACUUCCCUUAGCAACCCAUUCCAAUGCCUGAUUACCCUCUCUGUAAAGAAUUCCCCCAAGAAACCCAGCGCAAAUCAAUCAAACAAAAAACCCAACAGACAAACAAACAAACAAAAACCAUACAAAAAAUCCCAAACCUAAUCAAACAAAAUUCCCAAAUCUAAUCAAACAAAAUUCCCUCAAACCCACAUAAACUAGCUUCACACUGUAGAACAGUCAGCUAAGGGUUGUCUGUACUGUGCCAGAUGAGAAUAUGAAUUAGGUAAAAAUGAUCUGGCCACUCUGGAAGCCCAAAACUACAGCUGUCUUUUAAACCAGAAAGCAUCUAAAAAAGUUGCAUGUCUUUGUAAAAAGUUACUGGAAGGUAACUUAUUGCAGGAAACGUGCAUGCUUGCUAUUCCUUUAUCUAGUAUGUGACAAAAUGUGAAAAACAAGUAUGUUCAAGCACAAUAUGCAAAGCUAUCCUUAAUGGAAUACCAGAGAGAAACACAGUAAUAAAGUGAAUUAAUAAAUAAAAAGAUUAACUAUAUUCUCAAGACCUACCAAAAUUGCUGUUAUGGUUAUUGAAUUGUAAUUAGAAGAAAAAAAGUGGGUAUCAAUAAGCAGCAGGGGCCUAACUGGGAUGCAUGACAAAGUAGAACUUUUUUUUUCUUUCUAGGUAUUUCAAGACAAAAUGGGAUCAUUUCAAACACAAGCAAUGUAAAACAAGGUGAAUUCCUUUACCUCAAAAAUGCAAUACCUUUAAACAUUUAUAUAUCUUAUGAGUAACAUAUCCAAAAUGGAUAUGUCUGCUAUUAAUAAAUACAUGAGAGUUCAUAAAUCAUAAAUUGACAUUUCAACCAAUUCCUUAAUUUUCAAAAAUGAUUCUAAAUAUUGAUGUUAUGCCCCUGUGGAUCUCCUGUAAGAUAGUUCAGUUAUUUGAACAGUUUUUUCAUCUGGGAAAUCCAUGUUUUUGUGGAAUUGCUUUAUCAAAGGUUUCUGAGUAUUGUUUUCCUUUCAUUUACAUGUUACCAAAGUGUAAAUUUAUAGCAAAGAUGGUAAAUUAAGAAGAUAAUCACUACUGCUCUGUCUGAGAGAAGACAGAAUCAUCCUCCUCGAAGAUUUGAUUUCUCACAGAACAGACAAAACAGGCAAACAAAGAUUUGAGCUGGAAUUGUCCAAUAUCACACAGUAAAUGGAGUGAGAGAUAAGGAGGUAUCUAUAGGACUUGAUUUGCAAACAAGCAGUGGACUCAUUAGGACAUGCUAUUUUUGAAAUUGGAUAAGUCACAGAAUUUUCAAAAAAACAGUACUGACCUUUUAUGUAGCUAUACAGGAGAGUGAUCAAACUGUGCACAGCAAAAAAAUACAGCAUCCUAAAAAUCCACCAUUAAAAUUUCAGGAUAAAUGCAGAAUAUACAGAGAUCCUGAGUUUUUCUUUUAGCAAAACUGAUUUUCUAAAGAAAUUAGCUCAAUAAAUUUCAAUAACUUAUGACUAUUUUAACUAGAGUAUUUGUGCAAUUUGGGACUAUUUUGGAAACUAUUCUCUUUCUAUGACAUUAUAUUUACCUCUGAGAUAAAACACUGCUGUACAAAUCUUUACAGCCAGAAAAAGGAUAGAUAUAGAAAACUAAUAUGAUCUUCACUCCGAAAAAGACCAAUAAGCGCACAUAAACACCUACUUCCUAUAGAAAUCUUCAAAUAAUAUAAAUAUACCAAUUCAUUUUUAACAAAGAUAAAAUGUAUGGUGUUUUCAG